rnacentral:rRNA from 1 species
GAUGAACGCUGGCGGCGUGCCUAAUACAUGCAAGUCGAGCGAACAGAUAAGGAGCUUGCUCCUUUGACGUUAGCGGCGGACGGGUGAGUUACACGUGGAUAACCUACCUAUAAGACUGGGAUAACUUCGGGAAACCGGAGCUAAUACCGGAUAACAUAUUGAACCGCAUGGUUCAAUAGUGAAAGGCGGCUUUGCUGUCACUUAUAGAUGGAUCCGCGCCGUAUUAGCUAGUUGGUAAGGUAACGGCUUACCAAGGCAACGAUACGUAGCCGACCUGAGAGGGUGAUCGGCCACACUGGAACUGAGACACGGUCCAGACUCCUACGGGAGGCAGCAGUAGGGAAUCUUCCGCAAUGGGCGAAAGCCUGACGGAGCAACGCUGCGUGAGUGAUGAAGGUCUUCGGAUCGUAAAACUCUGUUAUCAGGGAAGAACAAAUGUGUAAGUAACUGUGCACAUCUUGACGGUACCUGAUCAGAAAGCCACGGCUAACUACGUG